GCACGUAAUACAAGAAUUUACAUGCUAGCACUUUAAUUGUCAGAAGCUAGUUUCUAUUAGGCAGAUGGACUGUGAAUGAGUAACAGCAUUUCCCAUUAGUGGGGGGAAAAAGGAAAAUUAAGAUUUUGUCAAUGAAAAAUGAAAACUGAGCUUGCAAGCCUGAGGAAAAAAAGGCUUUUUGGGUGACUAGUAAGCACAGCUGAGGAGAAGGAAUUCAGCUGAAGCACAAAUUCCAUGUCUGAGAUGAGACACCCUACGUUGCUGUGG